CUACGGAGGGUGCAAGCGUUGUUCGGAAUUACUGGGCGUAAAGCGCGCGUAGGUGGUCUGUUAUGUCAGAUGUGAAAGUCCACGGCUCAACCGUGGAAGUGCAUUUGAAACUGGCAGACUUGAGGACUGGAGGGGGUAGUGGAAUUCCCGGUGUAGAGGUGAAAUUCGUAGAUAUCGGGAGGAAUACCGGUGGCGAAGGCGACUACCUGGCCAGAUACUGACACUGAGGUGCGAAAGCGUGGGGAGCGAACAGGAUUAGAUACCCCAGUAGUCC
rnacentral:rRNA from 1 species